rnacentral:rRNA from 1 species
UACGAAGGUGGCAAGCGUUACUCGGAAUUACUAGGCGUAAAGGGCAGGUAGGUGGUGUGGAAAGUCUGUUGUGUAAGCUCCCGGCUUAACCGGGAGAGGUCAACAGAAACUACCAUGCUGGAGUAUAGGAGAGGGUACUGGAAUUCCCGGUGUAGCGGUGAAAUGCGCAGAGAUCGGGAGGAACACCAAUGGCGAAAGCAGGUACCUGGACUAUUACUGACACUGAGCUGCGAAAGCUAGGGGAGCAAACAGG